AACAGAGAGAAGCAAUACCGCGAGGUGGAGCAAAACUUCAAAAAUGGUCUCAGUUCGGACUGUAGGCUGCAACUCGCCUACACGAAGUUGGAAUUGCUAGUAAUCGUGGAUCAGCAUGCCACGGUGAAUACGUUCCCGGGUCUUGUACACACCGCCCGUCACACCAUGGGAGGCUGGUAACACCCGAAGUCAGUAGUCUAACCGCAAGGAGGACGCUGCCGAAGGUGGGAUUAGCGACUGGGGUGAAGUCGUAACAAGGUACC
rnacentral:rRNA from 1 species